rnacentral:lncRNA from 1 species
GAAUUAAUGUGAUACUUAUUCGAACAGUAAGUAUAUGUUUAUACAUUUUAUUCAGGUUUAACUUUUGGUUCCAUAUUAAAUUGGCAUUGGAAUAAAAUAAAGUCCACAUUGUGAGUCUGUGAGAACCUUUGCAUCCUAUACUCAUGAAUGUAUUAGUGCAUAUUUGUGUAUGGAGAGCUAAGACAUUUGUACAUUUUGAAAAUUUUGUCCAGCAAAAAGCUGAAAGCAAUCAUAGUGUAAAAUCAAUAGAGAAUGCCUUAGAAUCUCCAUAGCACUCAUUGGACUUUUACCCCAGUUUUAUUUUAUCCAGUGAGGGGUGCUUCAUGAUCUUCUGUUCCCUAAAAAGGAGCUCUUGAACCCAUCUCCAUUCAUGCUGUGAUUUUUUUUUUUCAUUUUAAAAUCUAGGCUACCUUUUGACUUUCUCAUAUAAAGGCAUGAGAGGAAAGUGAUGGACAUAGGGAUUCAAUGGUGAUUAUACAUAAUUCUUUGCCUAAUCUGCUUUGCAACUUGAAACUACUCUGCAGCUCGAAGUAUUGUCUCCUCUUCUAUAGGUAUAUAUCUAAUCCGAGGAUAAAAAUUGAGAAAUAAGUGAGGUAAAAAUAAAGCAUUGUUCAAAGUAGCCUUUUUUUACUGCUUUGGAGUUUGGGAAUGAUUGCUCUCUACAUUGGCAUUUGAGAGAAAAAUUUGGCUAUUAUGGCUUUUCUUGUUAUUUUUAUUAAGCGAAUGAAAAAGGAUGGUAGCAGUUCAGCCACUGGGGUGUUGGAACAGCAAAUUGAGGGGCCCCCAAGGACCUUCAUACCCAUUUUUGAAGUUCAAUUCCAGUCACUAAGAUUAGAGCAGCCCUUCCAAAAUGAGGGUCACAAAUGCAUUUGUGAUUUAGACUAUUUGUCUGGAUGCUGUCAGGGAAACAAUUGGCUAUUAUUGAACAGAACUGCUGAUUUUCUCUUUGUACCAUUUUUUUUUUCCCUUUUGUUUUGGUCGUCUCUGAAUGGUAAAGCCUGACAGCAAGUAGAAGAAAAAAUACUAGUUAGGUGGAAGAGAGAGAAACAUGGAACAAACCAAAAGAGAUGAGAGAGGAAAAAAAGUGGCUUUUCAGUAUCAUAUGGCAUUGAUUUUAGUCUUGAGUAAUGUAGUUUAAUUGAAGAUAUAUUUUUUGAGCAUGUACUAUGUAACAGGCAUUGUUAAUUGAUGUAGGCUAAUUGAUGUAGGGCAAUAAGUUACACAAGAUAAAAAUCUGUCAUGAAGGAGCUCAUUCACCAGUGUGUGAGGCUAAAAAGCUGAAUGUGAUCACCAUUUUCCCUAGAGUUUGCCUCAUCCACAGCCUCUCCAAGAAUUAGCCAUCACUGUGACCCUGGUACCUGUGCUUGGGUCAUAGCUAGUUGCUUGGGACUAGACAUAGAGCCCCAAGGAAGCCCAUAGAUUGACUAAGCAGUGACUCCAAUUCACCAGGCAAAAUCUUGAAAAUGUGAGCCCCUUACCAGACACUCUCAAACUAUCAGCAAUGCUUUCCUGUUUCUUCCAAAAACAUAUCUGGGGGCAGGAGGCAGAGAUAAAUUAGGAGUUUGGGAUUAACACACACACACUACUGUAUAUAAACAACAAGGACCUACUCUAUAGCACAGUGAACCACACUCAGUAUCUUGUAAUAAUCUUAGAAAAGAAUUUGAAACAGAGCAUGUAUAUAUACUAUAUAUAUAUAUUCAUAUAUAUAAUGAAAUCACUUUGCUGUACCCUUGAAAUGAACUCAACAUUAUAAAUUAACUAUAUUUCAAUUUAAAAAAUGUUACAUUUGUUCACUUCCCUCUACUACCAUCCUACCACGACUGGCAUGUUGCCAUAGCCUCAUACUUGGUUUCUUGUUGGCAGCAUCUUACUUGUUAAGUCUAUCAUUCAGGUAGACUUAAAGUGAUUUUCUUUUCUUUUUCUUUUCUUUUUUUUUUUUUUUUGCUGCACUCAUGGCAUGUGGAAGUUCUGGGGCCAGGGAUCGAACCCAUGCUACAGCAGCAACCCAAGGCAAUGCAGUAACAAUACAUAUCCUCAAUCCACUGUGCAGAAACAGUGAUGUUUUGAAAACAUUGUCAGACCAUGUCAUUCUUUUAAAGAAUCUGCGAUUUUGCAUUUGAGAACAACUCUACAACCUGACCCCCUCCAUAUUCAGCUCCUCGGGUUCCUUCCUUCCCAUCACUCCUCUCAUCAGCUUGCCCUCUAUCUUCCAGCCACUCUGGCCUUGUUUCAAUUCCUCCACUAUGCUAAGGUGAUUUCUGUAUUACAGCCACUGCACUUCCUUGGCUGUCACUCUUUACCCUUUGCAUGCUGGCUGAAUAUUUUUGGGACCACCAUGAAUUUUAUCUUCUAGCAGAUGGCUUUCCACAAACAAAACCCUAGCUAGAGUAUGUUCCAAUUCUUAACUCUCACUGCAUUGUUGGAUUUCCUUCCUAACACUUUUUUUUUUUUUUGCAAUUGCAACUACACAGAGACACAGUCUUACUUGAAUACUUUUUGAUUGUCUGGCUAGAUUACAUGCGGCAUUAUUGUCAACUGUAGAUGCUGUGCCUUACACAGUGCUUAGAUCUAUAUAAGAAGCAUCAUAAAUCUAUUCAGUAAAUGAGCAAAUUUACGUUAAGACAUAGAGAAAUUGUCUAUUGGUGGGGAAUCUGGGAGUUAGUAGAUAACACUGCUCUUGGUUGAGGGUGGUCAUUUUGGGUCCUGAGUAAGCCUAGCAUUGUCACUUAGAGGCUGACCAUGAAACUUGUUUUGGAGUCAAAGACAUGCAGGUUCAUACUCUAGCUCCUUCAUUUACUGGCAGUGUUACCUUAGGCAAAUUAACUUCUAUGAAUUCCCUUUCCUCAUAUGUAACAUGGAGGAAUAAUAUCUUUUUAUAAAAUUGUUUUAAAGACAUAUAAUCAUGUGUGCAAGGUAAGUGGCAUGAAUAAUAAUGAAUAACAUUUAUUGAAUACUUCUUGCUAGGUCCAAGGCUGAGAAUUUACAGGGUUCCCCACUGAAUCUCUCUCAAUCCUGCUCAAUACAAACCAUCAUCCUCAUUUUACGCAUGAGGGGCUUGAGCAAGAAGAUAAAUUUAAGGUCAUAUAGCCAGUAAGUGGCAGAAUCAGGAUGAGCUCAGGACUUUUAAUUACAAAACCAAUCUUAGAAGCCCGAAGCUUUUACUAUCUUCCGUAUGAUAUAUGGAAGACUACUUCCAAAUGGAAAUAAGGAGUUAUUAUUUAUAAGUAUAAUAUUUGGAAUGUAAGUGCGUAAAAAUAAUCUUAAAACCUCAAGGAAGCAUGUGACCCCUAAGAGAGACAAAUUUUCGAAGAGUAGUGGCCUUUGUUUUGGUUUCUACAUCUAAUCCCAUGAGGCCCAAUUGGACCCUCACCUUCCAAUAUUUUUGAGAUUUUUCUAGUAUCUGCAGUUUUUGGUAGACUACUCUCUUGGCAUCUUCUCUGGGUCAUGGUGAAUUGUUUUUUCCUGAGGCUUGUAAUUUUUUAAUUGCAAAGUCAUUUUCUAUGGAUGUUGUUUCAUUCUGGGAAGUUUGCAUGGACUUUGAACUGUAGAAGUAUCCUCGCCAAAUAGACUGACAUUUGCUUCUGCUUGGACUUCAUGAAUUUAACAAGGUAGACCAAUUUUUAUUCGGGGGUUUCUUGUAACAGGGGUAGUACCAUUUAUACUCAAGCCGAUUCUGGCAUGGGCCUCAGGUUUUGACUUCUGAUCGAAAUCUUUCUUGUCUGCACCCCCCCACCCGCCCCAUCCCAACUAGUUUAGUAAAAUGGCAAUUUUCCUUGCAGUGGCUUUCUCUGGGCUAAUGGUUAAAAGUUUUACAGUUGCAUUUUCAUAGAUGGGCCAGAUCUUUGAGGCUGUUGGAUUUUUUUCAGGGUUAAGGUCUGAUUUCCUUUUUUUUUUUUUUUUUUUUCCCAUUAGGGCAAAGGCUACCUGUUUUUUUCCACAUACAAAUGUUAGAACUUUAGCCUUCCCCCCAAGCCCUUAUCUGGGGCUGAAACUCUUCUGGGCAUCAUCUGUUGCUUAUCAUAUUGGCUUUCCCAUCACUCAUUUUUUUCUAUAACCAAGAUCCUACUCUUUUUUUUUUUUUCUUUUGAGGUACCAAUGCAUUUGAUUCUUUGUGUGUUUUGUUUCAUUUAGAGUUUUCUUGUGUUGAUUGUGAGGGGUGAGCAUUAUCUCAAUCUGUCUUGUUACUAGAAGCAUGUAGUGAAUGUUUUCUUAUGUGUGGAUGGAUAUGUUAUAUAAAGAGGUGGAGAAGGAUUAUGUGGCUAGAAAGGUAGGGAGGAGCUGGAGAAGCCAGGCAAAGGGAAGGAUUUAUUCUGUAGACCCAUGAGGAGCCACAGAAGACUUUGGGGUAGCUGUAUAAUACAUUCUAUCUUUUUAAGAAACUAACUUGAUUGCAUUAAAAAGAAUGGAUGGAAAGCUGAGGGAUCAAUGACCUGGAAACAAAUUAGAAUCCUACUCAAAAUGUCUAAGACAAAGAUAGUUGAGAGGCUGGCCCAAGCUUUGGACAUAGAAAGCAAAGGACAGACCCAAGAGAAAAGGAAAAGACACUCGACAGCACUUGGACACUUAGCGCUCAGGAGAGGAGAGGGAGAGGGAAUCAAAGAUAACUCCUAGGCUUCUGACCUGUAUGAUGAGAAGGAUUGGUUGGAUAUAAUAUUUUCUUAGAAAUAUACAUUAUCACUGACUACAGUCAUGACAUUGCUCCAUUCCUGUGCUGUAAAAUCCCAAAUUAUGGUGGCAUCUAGAAUAAGCCAAGACUGUGGCAUGGCUAGGAAAAUAGGUAGUGUAAGGGGCUGGUGGACUGACUUCUAGCUCAAAGUAAUGUCUAACAAUCCUGUUUAGUGGAUUAUAUUAAGAGCAUCUAUAAAUUUUCUCUAGUUGUGAAUUCUGUCUUUAUUCUUAAACUGUCAGGAAGUGGGGUUUGAUUCCUUUAGCUCCAUUCAUGUUACCUACAUCCCAUGGUCUCCCAAUUUUUUAUGUGAUGAGAAGACAGUGGGUUUUGAAGGUGACUGCUUUUUCCUUCGUUCUGUCUGGAAGUGAAAUAUUUGGUCCAUAGGUGGAGAUAAGUGAAAUUAAAUGAAACC